CACUUUCGUUGGAAUACUACAGUCUUUCAGCUUGAUCUGAAGGAACUAAGCCUAAAUUUCUGUAAAAUUUCAUAGACAAUUCAAAAUGUUUAUUGGCCCAGUCCAAAAAGAGCACUUGCACAAUAUGAUCCUGGGUUGUGGUUGGCCUUGUGGAUCAUUGAGUGGACCCUGUGAUGGCUGCUGCGGAGGGUCUUGCUGUGGUGGUUGCUUUCGCGGCUGUUGAUUAUAACACCUAACUGUGUCUUUGGACUGGCAGCACCAAUGUCACUAUCAGUUUAAUACCAAAAAUACACAUGACUCCCGUUCUUCGGAAAUACC